rnacentral:rRNA from 1 species
UACGUAGGGGGCAAGCGUUGUCCGGAAUCAUUGGGCGUAAAGCGCGUGUAGGCGGUUACGUAAGUCUGCUGUGGAAGUCGGAGGCUCAACCUUCGAAAGCCGGUGGAUACUGCGUGACUAGAGUACGGAAGAGGAGAGUGGAAUUCCUGGUGUAGCGGUGAAAUGCGCAGAUAUCAGGAGGAACACCAACGGCGAAGGCAGCUCUCUGGGACGUUACUGACGCUGAGACGCGAAAGCGUGGGGAGCAAACAGG